AUGAGCGUGUGGGAGGGACCUUAGGCGCCAUCAGGCUUCGAUCCACCUGAGGGCUCAAAGGCUUCGUCGAAUGAAGAUCAUGAGGCUUGUGCUUCCUCUCAAGCUUGCCUUGGAAUUGUACUGGAUGGAGGAGGCAAGGUUGAGAAGAGAGGCAGUGGUAACGUAUGCGGAGUUCUAAAGAGGAGGCAUUGAAAGAGUCAACGUUUUGGCGGGGAGGGA
rnacentral:lncRNA from 1 species